rnacentral:lncRNA from 1 species
GCCCUGCCCUGCCUUGCUUUGCCUUACCCUGCCUGGCUCCGCUUGGCUCGGCUCCGCUCAGCGCAGCCCGACCUGUCUCGGUACGGCGCGGUUCGGCUCUGAGCCCCCGUGGCUCUGCCCCGCUUCUCGUUCUCUCCGCUUCGUAUUUAUCUUUCUCUCUCUCUCUUUCUCUCUCUCUUUUUUUUUUUUUUUUUUUUUAUUUUAAUGUGUGUGUGGUUCCCGGUGGCAGCUCCCGGCCGCCCUGCCCCGGCCGUGCCCGCAUCCUGGAGCGGACGGACGGACGGACGGACAGAUGGCCGGCAUCCCCGACGGAGGGAUGUUUCUGUCUUUGGUUAUCUAGCUGUAUGAGUGUUGUGGAGCCAUCAUAAAGCUAGAUAACCGAAAGUAGAAAUGACUUCCAGACCUGCUCGCCCGGGGGAAGCGGCCGCACCAGGACCGGCGGUGCAGAGACGGCCCGACUCGCCGCCUUGGGGCUCCAGAUCCCAGCAAGUGGAGAAGGGAUUUUUCAAGCCCGUGAGUUCCUUUGAGCUGUUGGCUACCGCCUGCCCAGACUUGCCACCUGACUUCUCCGAGUUUCUCCAGGAGGGUCCCAACUGCUUCUGCAUUGGCCCCAGAGAGGAGGCAGCUUUGAUUCAUGAGCACAGCGGGUUUCUGCAUCACUUCGAAUCACGCCGGUCCACCCAUGGGGAGGGAGCCAGGGCAACACAAGGGAUCAUCCCACAUCACUCCUGUAUGUUGCCUUCAGUGCCCUCAAUACCCCUGAGCAGGACCAAAGCACUUAGACAGAGAGACCCAAGCCAGUCACUGUAACAACUGGUGAAAUACCAGGUGUGCGAAGGUUGGAAGGAGCUUUUUGCUCCCGGCUUUGCUCAUGGAGCAGAGCUUGGCCCUUGCUGCUCUUGAUCCCUGGGUCUGUGGAGCUGUGGGAGCACGGCCUUCCCAAAGGUGCUGUGCUUGUGGCCCAGAGGACCGUGAGCCUGUCCAGGCCAGACAGCCCGGCUGCUGUUGUGCUGCACCCUCUCUGUUCCUGUAAGAGAAACGUACUGCCUGUAAUUAUCUCCCAUUCAAAUCCCGCCCCCCCAUGCACUGUUGAAAAUAAACUCUCCCUUUUGCAAAAAGUGAGCCGUGUG